GAUGAACGCUAGCUACAGGCUUAACACAUGCAAGUCGAGGGGCAGCAUGGUCUUAGCUUGCUAAGGCCGAUGGCGACCGGCGCACGGGUGAGUAACACGUAUCCAACCUGCCGUCUACUCUUGGACAGCCUUCUGAAAGGAAGAUUAAUACAAGAUGGCAUCAUGAGUCCGCAUGUUCACAUGAUUAAAGGUAUUCCGGUAGACGAUGGGGAUGCGUUCCAUUAGAUAGUAGGCGGGGUAACGGCCCACCUAGUCUUCGAUGGAUAGGGGUUCUGAGAGGAAGGUCCCCCACAUUGGAACUGAGACACGGUCCAAACUCCUACGGGAGGCAGCAGUGAGGAAUAUUGGUCAAUGGGCGAGAGCCUGAACCAGCCAAGUAGCGUGAAGGAUGACUGCCCUAUGGGUUGUAAACUUCUUUUAUAAAGGAAUAAAGUCGGGUAUGGAUACCCGUUUGCAUGUACUUUAUGAAUAAGGAUCGGCUAACUCCGUGCCAGCAGCCGCGGUAAUACGGAGGAUCCGAGCGUUAUCCGGAUUUAUUGGGUUUAAAGGGAGCGUAGAUGGAUAUUUAAGUCAGUUGUGAAAGUUUGCGGCUCAACCGUAAAAUUGCAGUUGAUACUGGAUAUCUUGAGUGCAGUUGAGGCAGGCGGAAUUCGUGGUGUAGCGGUGAAAUGCUUAGAUAUCACGAAGAACUCCGAUUGCGAAGGCAGCCUGCUAAGCUGCAACUGACAUUGAGGCUCGAAAGUGUGGGUAUCAAACA
rnacentral:rRNA from 1 species